GUGGCUUAACAGUCUGCCUCUGUGUUCUAAUCCAGAGAACCAUAUUUCUAGAAACAGUUACGGAUAUGAAUGGCGACAUUCUGGAAAAGCACAGGAUUGAAAGAGAAAACCAGUUGGAGAAGGACCAAUCUGUUCCAGAUGUCAUCCCAGUCCUGGUCUAAACAUGGACCAAAGAGCUGAAUACCAGAGAUGUACUGUUGGAAGUCUCCUGACUGGUUGCAUCAUGAUCUGGUACAGCAAUUCAAAUGCACAGGAACGCAAGAAGCAGCAGAGAACAGUGGACUCUGUGCAAUACAUCACGGGCACAUCGCUCCCUGCCAUCGGUGGUAUCUACAGGAAGCACUGCCUCAAGAAGGCAACAUCUAUCAUCAAAGAUCUCCACCAUACGGGCCAUGCCAUCCUUUCACAGCUACCAUUGGGCAGGAGGUACAGAAGCCUGAAGUCCCACAUCACCAGGUUCAAGAACAGUUACUUCCCUUUAACCAUUCAGAUCUUGAACUAAUCAGCAAAACCUUAAUUACUACAGUUUAGCAACACUAUGAUCACUUUGAUUACUUUGCACUAAAAUUGACUUCUUUUGUUCUAAUUGUGUUCUUUCUUG